UGGAAGACUAGUGAUUUUGUUGUUGUGGUGUUUGGAAACAAUGAAUCACUAUCUUCCUGA
rnacentral:pre_miRNA from 1 species